rnacentral:piRNA from 1 species
UUCCUUCAGAGUUUUUUUCCA